CGCACUUUACUCAUUUAGAGAUAUCAAUCGUUGAUUAAGACUUAUAAUUUAAUUUUAGUUUCAACUGCUAGUUCGUCGCAUUAACAUGGAUAAACAAUGGGAUUGGCUUAUGCGGGAAAUAGAAUCCAACGGCAUCUUUAAUUCGAUUGCAUCGGCAAUUAUUGGCCAGGCAUCAAGGACUGGCCAUAACACGGUUGCCGUCGUCGGAAAACUUGUAUCCAUUGUAAAAAAAAUAAGCAAUCGGAUCUCGAAACCACAAAAAAAAGAAAAAGUGGCAAUGGAAAAGGCCCACGCAGAAGAAAGAAAUAAUUUGCUGCAAGCUAUUUUCAAACUCAGCAACAGCACCGAAUCAGCUCGAGAGCAGGACCAACCAAACGAUUCUAAGACUAAUCUUGUAAAUUUUAAAAUCAGAUGGGACACCAUCUGUUGAGUCUCUCGCUGUUGCUAAAAGAACUAGAGCCAAAAGCCCGAAACACGAAAUUCCACGGAUGGUAGAUGCCCAGUGAUUUGACUUUGGAGGACGUUGACGAACCGAAAAGUGAGGUGUAUCCAGAAGUGGUAAAUUUCCGCCGCAUAAAUGCGAGAAAUAUCACUAUAUGGGCC